CAGUAGCCGCGGGAAUACAGAGGAUGCAAGCGUUAUCCGGAAUGAUUGGGCGUAAAGCGUCUGUAGGUGGCUUUUCAAGUCCGCCGUCAAAUCCCAGGGCUCAACCCUGGACAGGCGGUGGAAACUACCAAGCUGGAGUACGGUAGGGGCAGAGGGAAUUCCCAGUGGAGCGGUGAAAUGCGUUGUGAUCGAAAAGAACACCAACAGCGAAAGCACUCUGCUGGGACGACACUGACACUAAGAGACGAAAGCUAGGGGAGCAAAUGGGAUUAGAUACCCGCGUAGUCCCUGUCUCUUAUAC
rnacentral:rRNA from 1 species